GCCGCCGUAGCUUAGUUGGUAGAGCACUCGGCUGUUAACCGAGCGGUCGUAGGUUCAAAUCCUACCAGCGGCG
rnacentral:tRNA from 1 species